rnacentral:rRNA from 1 species
UGGGGAAUAUUGCGCAAUGGGGGCAACCCUGACGCAGCCAUGCCGCGUGAAUGAAGAAGGCCUUCGGGUUGUAAAGUUCUUUCGGUGACGAGGAAGGCGUGAUGUUUAAUAGGCAUCACGAUUGACGUUAAUCACAGAAGAAGCACCGGCUAACUCCGUGCCAGCAGCCGCGGUAAUACGGAGGGUGCGAGCGUUAAUCGGAAUAACUGGGCGUAAAGGGCACGCAGGCGGCUAUUUAAGUGAGGUGUGAAAUCCCCGGGCUUAACCUGGGAAUUGCAUCUCAGACUGGGUAGCUAGAGUACUUUAGGGAGGGGUAGAAUUCCACGUGUAGCGGUGAAAUGCGUAGAGAUGUGGAGGAAUACCGAAGGCGAAGGCAGCCCCUUGGGAAUGUACUGACGCUCAUGUGCGAAAGCGUGGGGAGCAAACAGGAUUAGAUACCCUGGUAGUCCACGCUGUAAACGCUGUCGAUUUGGGGAUUGGGCCUUGAGCUUGGUGCCCGAAGCUAACGUGAUAAAUCGACCGCCUGGGGAGUACGGCCGCAAGGUUA